rnacentral:rRNA from 1 species
UACGUAGGGUGCAAGCGUUAAUCGGAAUUACUGGGCGUAAAGCGUGCGCAGGCGGUUUUGUAAGUCUGUCGUGAAAUCCCCGGGCUCAACCUGGGAAUUGCGAUGGAGACUGCAAGGCUAGAAUCUGGCAGAGGGGGGUAGAAUUCCACGUGUAGCAGUGAAAUGCGUAGAGAUGUGGAGGAACACCGAUGGCGAAGGCAGCCCCCCUGGGUCAAGAUUGACGCUCAUGCACGAA